AGCUGAGGGGACAAGGGGGGUCUCCCCGCAGCCGGGCGGCUGACGUCCCCUUGCGCAGGGCUGGCCGGGGUGGGAGCUGAGUAGGGUCACCAGAGAGCCACUGUGAAAAAUCCGGUUGGGAUUAAUAGUGGGGUACAGGACCAAGCCCCUAAUAGGGGUUGGUCCCCCUGAUAGCUGGCGGUCCGGCCACCCUAGGGCUGAGGAGGUGCCUGUGAGUGAGAGCGGUCAGUGGGGCCCCGCCAGCAGAGUUUGUGCGUGACUGAGGCAGCCUGGAUUUACCAACCCACAGUCAAAGCCUUGGACUUUCAGGAAAGCCCAGCGGAGGGGCAUAAAACGGAAACCUCCCAGUAGCAGGCCCGAGCCACAGACUCUUCUCUCCCACACCUUCCCUUGGCCACUUAGCCACUUGCAAAGCCUGCUUCAGAGGGAGGCUGGCUCGGGGACCCAGGCCUCCCACCUGUUUUUAAAAUGUCCAGGACUUUUAAACUCUGGGGAAUUUUUGGCUGGGCGGUUGUGGGAGAGCUGCCUGGGUGGCUAAUGGGAAGCAAGAGAGGGCAGGAGGUCAGUAGUUAAGCCUGCUAAUUGCACAAAGGAUCAGAGCAGGCGACUCUCACUUGACAGCAGUUUCAGUUCCCAACAAGGAAUGAGGCUCUCUCCCAAGGCCCCUCGUAAAUUAAAGGCAUUUAGAAAUAAUAGGGAAACAAGUUAGGUUUGCCAAGGAUGGCUCCCUUAUGGCAACUCCAGGUUCAGCAGACAUCUAUCACCAUAGCACAGGCCAUGAUUUUCUGCGUUGCCAUAACCAUGGGGCAAAUUAUUAUUAUUAUUUUGGAUAUGAAACAAUCCCAUUCGGUUAGAUUGCUUAAUUUUCCAAUAUUUUCAUGAUUUAUGUAUGCCCUUGUAACCAUGGACACAUAAGUUCCUGAAAGUGAAAGGAUAACACUGUAACCCGAAUCAUAAAGGGCUAGAUCAGGGGUUGGCAAACUAUGGCCCGUGGGCCACAUCUGGCCCACGAGCCAUUUUAAGGCGGCCCGUGAGCUCCCACUGGGGCACUGGGUCAGGGGCCACACCAGCACUCUAGCUGGGACGCCGGGUCAGGGGCCGCACCACGUGGCUCAGCCCCACUCUAGCUGGGACGCCGGGUCAGAGGCCGCACCAUGCAGCUCGGCCCUGCUCUGGUGCUCCAGCUGGGGCUCCGGGUCGGGGGUUGCACCACGCAGCUCAGCCCCUCUCCAGCUGGGACGCCAGGUCAGGGGCUGCACCACACGACCCCCGGAAGCUGCGGCAUUGCCCCGUUCUGAGGGUCGGGGGCCGCUCAACGCGUAGGAGCCGGAAAAGGGACUUGCCAUGGCUUCUGGGAGCCGCUUGAGCAGUGCCUACAAGCGCCAAUAGGAUUGGGUCCCAUCCUGUUAGGGGCUGUACAAACACGCAGAUAGACACCAUUUGCCGGCAUCCAUGGAUUCUGCUUCUAGAUAGGGUCCACGCCACAACCUGUGUCCCUUCUGAGCUGCUACUAAAGGUAAUCAACAA